rnacentral:rRNA from 1 species
AACAAACGCUGGCGGCGUGCCUAACACAUGCAAGUCGUACGAGAAAGGGUCCUUCGGGGCCUGAGUAAAGUGGCGCACGGGUGAGUAACGCGUGGAUAAUCUGCCCUUCAGUUGGGAAUAACUCAUCGAAAGGUGGGCUAUACCGAAUAAUGCUGUGAGACCUCGGCUGAUCAGCCAAAGAGAGCCUCUGCUUGCAAGCCCUCGCUGAAGGAUGAGUCCGCGUACCAUUAGCUAGUUGGUAGGGUAAUGGCCUACCAAGGCGACGAUGGUUAGCUGGUCUGAGAGGAUGAUCAGCCACACUGGAACUGAGACACGGUCCAGACUCCUACGGGAGGCAGCAGUGAGGAAUCUUGCGCAAUGGGGGCAACCCUGACGCAGCAACGCCGCGUGAGUGAGGAAGGUCUUCGGAUCGUAAAGCUCUGUCGGAUGGAAAGAACCGCAUAGGGGUAAACAGCCCCUGUGUCUGACGGUACCAUCAAAGGAAGCACCGGCUAACUCCGUGCCAGCAGCCGCCGUAAAAC